rnacentral:rRNA from 1 species
AUUGAACGCUGGCGGCAUGCCUUACACAUGCAAGUCGAACGGAAACACGUCUUCCGACGCUGUCGAGUGUUGAACGGGUGAGUAAUACAACGGAACGUGUCCGCUCGCUGUGGGUAACGAAGCAAAAGGUUUGCUCAUACCGCAUACGAUCUAAGGUUGUAAGCGGGGGGUUUCCGGAGUUCGCGCGGGCCGUGCGGCCGCUGGCAGAUUAGGUAGUUGGUGGGGUAAAAGCUUACCAAGGCAACGAUUAGUAGCUGAACUGAGAGGAUGAUCCGCCACACUGGAACUGAGACACGGCCCAGACUCCUACGGGAGGCAGCAGUGGGGAAUCUUCGACAAUGGGCGAAAGCCUGACCCAGCAACGCCGCGUGAAGGAUGAAGGUCUUCGGGUCGUAAACCUCUGUUAUACGGGAAGAAAAGCUUCUUAAUAAUAAAGAGACGUCAUGACGGUACCGAAACAGUAAGCCCCGGCUAACUACGUG